rnacentral:rRNA from 1 species
AUGAACGCUAGCGGCAGGCUUAAUACAUGCAAGUUGAGGGGCAGCAUGAUAUACGCGAGUAUAUUGAUGGCGACCGGCGGACGGGUGAGUAAUAGGUAGGAGACCUACCUCAUACAGGGGGAUAGCAUAGAGAAAUCUGUGGUAAUGCCCCAUGAGGUUAUAUGAAUAGAGGCAUAUAAUCAAAGCAUAAGCGAUUAUGCGGUAUGAGAGGGGCCUACUGACCAUUAGCUAGUUGGUGAGGUAAGGGCUCACCAAGGCGAAGAUGGUUAGGGGUUUUGAGAGAGAGACCCCCCACAUUGGAACUGAGAGACGGUCCAGACUCCUACGGGAGGCAGCAGUAGGGAAUAUUGGGCAAUGGGCGAAAGCCUGACCCAGCCAUGCCGCGUGAAGGAAGACGGCCUUAUGGGUUGUAAACUUCUUUACUACGCGAAUAGAGGUUAGUACGAGAUACUAAUAGGAAGGUAGUGUAGUAAAAAGCACCGGCUAACUCCGUG